AAAUAUAAGUUUGCCUGAAGCAAGAGGAAAGUUUCCUUCCUUCCUGAAGAGCUAUGCUCUACUUUCCCUCUGACACGUGUGACAGAGAGCGAGAAUCUGUGCCAGUCCUGUUUUCUGCCAUCUUGCCAAAGAUGACUUAAAGGUCAUCGCACCACUGGAGACACGCUAGCGCUGAUAAGCCUAAUUGCCACCCUCUGCUGUGCCUGCCCGGAUCAUCCAUUUGUCUUUUGUGUAAUGAAAUCCCCAGAGCCCCACAAGCUGCAACCCCCCCACAGCAGCAGCUCUUGAAGACAGAGACACAGAUGAUGUGGUCCUGAUGGCCUCAUCAGGCUGUGACCUUCAGCGUUUCCUGGGACGGUUUGGAGCUGAGUGUGAAGCUUCUGGGAUGAGACUCAGCACCUCCAAAUCUG